CAUCUCACAAGCCCACUUCUGGCCACUGUCGAUUUUCUGCAAUAUGCUCUUCCAGAUUUUUCCCUCCGUUCCUACAACGGGUUUUUCUUUUUUUCUUUUUUUUUUUAAAGCCCCCAAACCAUAGGAGUCUCCUACGCAGGCUGCUCCUUUAUUUAACGAAUUGUAAACAUCACACCCAGCUCUUGACGACUUGCAAGCAAACGCGGAGUCAAUGGGGCGCGUCAUGUAACAGAAGGAAUUACUGUCAUUAUCAAAGCUAUAGGCAGGCGCUGCGCGAGUCUCCGAGACCCCGCUUCUGUGAUCUCCUUUUGAGGCUGAGGCCCCCGCAAGCUAGCGCCCGGCGUUUUCAAAACCUCCGGUGCAGUGAGAACAGACGUGGCGGGAAUGGCCAUCGGGGUCCCGGUCCUGAUCUCCAGGGGAACGCUUUGGGUGUUUCGUCAUCAAGUCUGACGCUUGCUGUGGGUUUCUUCUUACCAGGUCGAAGAAGUGCUCUUCUGUCCCCGAGUUCUGGAGUGUUCUUGUUUCAUGAAAGGGUGUUCAGUUCCCAGAAGCACUGGCGGAGGAGCGCGAAUCCCGCGAUGUCAAGGACUACAGGCGUGUUGUCGGUUUGCAGGGGGACAAGAGCAAGGCUGGCUGCUUUCUGCUGAAGAGGAAAGUUGCCACACCGGGUACCGGGCAGCUGAGUAUGCAACCUGGGCAAGCGUCCUCUCCUAAUAUUAGCCGUGGCCGAGGCAGGCCCAGCCAAGCACCUCACACACAUGAAAACGACCUCAGCUCCAGCUCAGGACAGAUCAAAGACUCAGGUCCCUAGGUGGGGAGGUGUCUUGGGUUGGACUCCCCCAGAAGAGGACCCAGAGGCAAGGAAUCGAAUCUCACGUGACUGUGAGAUCAUGACCUGAGCUGAAGUCGGACGCUUAACCGACGGAGCCACCCAGGCGCCCCGAACCCCUGCCUUUUAUUCUCCUUUCCCAGGGUUAAAAGCCUUGAUUUGAUGAUUGGGCAGCCCUGUGUUUAAGAAGGCCGA